AUUGAACGCUGGCGGCAGGCCUAACACAUGCAAGUCGAGCGGAGCGGCGGACGGGUGAGUAAUGCCUAGGAAUCUGCCUGGUAGUGGGGGGUAACGUCCGGAAACGGGCGCUAAUACCGCAUACUAUCAGAUGAGCCUAGGUCGGAUUAGCUAGUUGGUGGGGUAAAGGCCUACCAAGGCGACGAUCCGUAACUGGUCUGAGAGGCUGAUCAGUCACACGGGAACUGGGACACGGUCCAGAAUCGUACGGGAGGCAGCAGGGGUGAAUAUUGGGCAAGGGGCGAAAGCCUGAUCCAGCCAUGCCGGGUGUGUGAAGAAGGUCUUCGGAUUGUAAAGCACUUUAAGUUGGGAGGCGGUACCAACAGAAUAAGCACCGGCUAACUUCGUGCCAGCAGCCGCGGUAAUUC
rnacentral:rRNA from 1 species